CGAUACGAGUUUGAUCAUGGCUCAGAACGAACGCUGGCGGCAUGCCUAACACAUGCAAGUCGAACGAACCAAGGCUUCGGCCUGAAGUUUAGUGGCGCACGGGUGCGUAACGCGUGGGAAUCUGCCCUUGGGUUCGGAAUAACUCAGAGAAAUUUGAGCUAAUACCGGAUGAUGACGAAAGUCCAAAGAUUUAUCGCCCAGGGAUGAGCCCGCGUAAGAUUAGCUUGUUGGUGAGGUAAGGGCUCACCAAGGCGACGAUCUUUAGCUGGUCUGAGAGGAUGAUCAGCCACACUGGGACUGAGACACGGCCCAGACUCCUACGGGAGGCAGCAGUGGGGAAUAUUGGACAAUGGGCGAAAGCCUGAUCCAGCAAUGCCGCGUGAGUGAUGAAGGCCUUAGGGUUGUAAAGCUCUUUUACCAGGGAUGAUAAUGACAGUACCUGGAGAAUAAGCUCCGGCUAACUCCGUG
rnacentral:rRNA from 1 species